rnacentral:rRNA from 1 species
UACGUAGGGGCCUAGCGUUGUCCGGAUUUAUUGGGCGUAAAGCGUGCGUAGGCGGUUCGUUAAGUCAGCUGUGAAAGCCCCGGGCUCAACCUGGGAACUGCGGUUGAAACUGGCGAACUAGAAUCUGGCAGAGGGGGGUGGAAUUCCACGUGUAGCAGUGAAAUGCGUAGAGAUGUGGAGGAACACCGAUGGCGAAGGCAGCCCCCUGGGUCAAGAUUGACGCUCAUGCACGAAAGCGUGGGGAGCAAACAGG